CAAAAUAUAUACAUCAAGCAACCUUCUCUUAGGUCCCAAAAUAAAAAGUAAGUACCUCUUCCUAUACAAAACUAAUAUAUUGUUUUUAACAUUACAUUCACUUUAUUUUGCUUCUAUGUAGAAUCCAGGAUUAAAAAUGUAGAUAGCCGCCAUCAUGUUUACUGCUUUAAACAGGUAAAGGCAACAGCAUGAACCAAGAUCUGUCCUAAUUUGACCAGAAAUUAUCACA